UUUGGUAUAGUUAAUUAAUUUUAGUUCUCGCUGUUAAAAUUAUGUGUGGAUAUCAUAUUUUGAUUAUUUGAUUAAAUAUUUUUGCUUCAAUAAAUUUGUUAAAACCUCUAAUCAUUUAACAGUUCAUAAAAUAAUCCUACUAUAUAAAAGGAGCUAAAUCCUAGCUUCCUAAGCCUUACCACAUGGAUAAAAUAAUCAGAACCAACCAUUAUGCCAUAUCAUUCUCGAUUGGGUUUUAAAAAAAAAACCAACCAUUAAAAUAUGUGAAGAGUCACGGUUUAACCCGGUUCAACUCCAGUUACAUCAUAAUAAAACAAUGCAUGCAUUGAUUGUUGAUUAUUAAGCUUCUAGCUACCACAUCUUUGCCAUCCUAAAUCAAAAUAUGUGAAGAGUCACGGUUUAACCCGGUUCAACUCCAGUUACAUCAUAAUAAAACAAUGCAUGCAUUGUUGAUUAUUAGGCUUCUAGCUACCACAUCUUUGCCAUCCUAAAUCAAAAUCGAUUUCUACAACUUUAACUUGCCCCAUACUUAAUAUUCUUAUAGUUGGUGAACAAUGUAAUUUAAGAAAUCGUUAUAUUUUAUGCCAAAAAUGCCUACUGCAUUCAUUGAAAAUUAAAUAACAUAUAUUCUACCAUUAGGAUCAAGAACUCUAAUCUGAAGACCAUAUAUUCAUCCCCUCUCACUCUGAAAAAACCACCACCGCCAACCGUUCAAGAUUUUGUGUAAGUCAAUAUUUGAAAGUCACAAUUUUGUCAAUUUCUUGGCGUAAGUGAUAUGUUUAAGAGUUGGAUAGUUAAGUCUGUAUGCGGUUUGGGACGUGGGGUUUGGCUCACCUUCCACUGUUUAUUUUCAAUUGUUUAAUAAUAGAUUCAUAUUGAUAAUCUGUGCGAACAAACAUAUAAGAUUUUAGUUGGUUAAGAUUAAACAUAGACCGACAAUCUUCCGUCUUUAGCUAUUGGUCUCCGCCAAAAUUUUUUGAUUUAAUAUAAUAGUUCAUGCCUGCUAAGCUACUACAAUUGUAGUUCACAUCUAUCGGUCAAAUAAAAUAUUUAGUUUUUUUUUUGGCUUUAUAAUAUUUUAGUUUGUAAUUAAUCUCAUGGUUCGAUUUUAUCCAUUGGGACCUUUUUCACUAUGUUUUAUUAUCAAACCAUUUCACUUUGCCUAACAUUUAAAUAUUCUUUCCUUUGUUUAAGGAUCGAUUGUUCCUCAAUACCAUGGUCAAACCAACCGCCAAAGAUCCUCCACUUAUGGGAGGUAUUUUGAAUUUACAAGUACAUUUUUGAAUCAAAAAACAUUAUUAGUAUUGAUAUAUUAAUUUAAUACUUUAAUCCAAAACUUUAAUAAAACAAAUAUAAAAUACAAAUUAUGUUUUAUAUAUAUAUAUAUUUUUUUUUAUAUUUUUGACUAUUUACAUCUUAUUAAAUUUGAAGCGCACAAAAAAAAAGUUACAUCUUAUUUGAUAAGAUUCCAAAUAUGUAAUUGAAAUGCUACGUUUUGAUUUUUGUUUAUUGCUACGAAACGUUUUAAAAACUUGGGAAAAGGUAAAAAUACAGACGACAUGACCGGCCACUCCUUUUCCCCCGGUUUGCAAGAAUCUAAUUGAGUUGCUUAAUAUUUGUUCCAAAUUAAUAUAUAGUCCCAUCAUAAUCAUAAAUUAAUAAUCUAUCUCUAUAUAAUUUUAUAUAAGUACUAAAUAAAGAUAUUUUUAUUCAUUUUAUAGUUACAAAACUCUAAUAAAACAAAUAUAAACAUUAUUAGUAAAAUAUGUUUUUUAUUUAAAAAUACAAAUUAUGAAAGAAACCACAAUUAGUUCUUAAUAAAAAAACCUUGCUCCCAACUAUAUCAACAGAUUCGUCAUUCAUCCCUAGAAGACACAUAUAAGAAUAAUUAAAUACUUUGGCAAAAAAAAACAUUUUUGUGAUGAAGAUUCUUAGAUGAUGAUUGUUUUCUAUACAAACAUGCGGCACCUCUUCACCAUUGUUUUAAUCCCAGGAAAACGUGUAGGAAUCUAUUAAUACAAAUAUUAACAUAUUUUAAUUAAAUAUGUAAUCCGCGCGGAGCGCGGACACCGGCUCUAGUAAUCUAUUAUAUAAUAGGAGAGUUUCUCUCCCCCUGAUGCGACACGUCAGCGGUUUGUGGGUCCCACAUUUUAAAAGUGUGAAAAAGUGUCAAAUAUGUGAUUCGAAUCCAGGUUAUUGAGAUAUAAACACCCACAACUAUACCACUACACUAAAGGAUACUUUGUACAAUGAUGGCCGAAACUAAUAUAUAUUAUGAAGAUCGGAAAUUAAUAUAACAUUGUGGACCCCACCUUUUUUUUUUUUAAAUUGAUGGGUAACGAAUGGACUUCGACAAAAAGUGGGCUUUGCGCUUAUUGAUUUUCUGUUUAUUAGGCUUUGUAUCUGUCCAAAGUGGUGAUACAGACAAAGCUAAGAAGAUUAGGGAAGCCGCCAUCUUCACCAUCUCCUUCGUCGCUUGCGAUUCUCCUUCCGGCAAUCAGCUAUUAUGGUCGAUCUUUAAGGCUCUAUGCACGUUUUGCGCCUACCAAACGCUUAGUUUCUCCUCUAACGCCUUCAGAGCUCUCAUAUAUAUAGAAUCCCUCGAGGUAAAAGCUCCAUCUUGUCUCAAACUUUUCUUUCUCAGUUUUCCGAUCGCUUUACUUUCUCACAUCCGUCGCAAAAAUGACUUAUCCAGCUGCUCCAGCCGCUUCAGCCGCCAUUGCCGCCGUUCCCUACACCACCUUCAACUCUCUCCGCCUUGGAAGGUCCACUCAGUCCAUUGUUGGUCGGCUCAUCCGAUUCUAGGAUUCAAGUAACAUUAACAAGAAUUGAGAGUUUAUGGACAUCACCAUUCUCCUCCUUGAUGAACUGGUGAUGAUUGUUUCUAACUUAUUUUUUAUCACUUUAACUCUGCUUUGCUUAUUCUUUGUUCAUAUAUGAAACGUUUCUUCAUGUUUUUGUUUUGGUUUUGUCUAUGGGUUUUUUUAUGAACAAAUAAUGAUUUUUCUUUGUUUUUCUUACAGGAUUCUGUGAUCCACAGUUUCAUCCCUGCAAUCUCCAAACAAAAUAGAAAAACUGAAUGAAUUAUGUUUUUAGCAACCGAAUCUAAAAGAAAUAAAAGACAUCUUACUUAACAAAUUAAAACCUUUUAUUUUGCAGAUUCCGACGACGACGAAGCACCCGAGGACCAACGACAAUGGAAUGAUGCGGACGAAGCCUAACUGAUGGAUCCCACAGGUGAUGCUGUCCCGACGACGGAGAAAAAAAAAGAAAGAUAACCUAACGUUUUUUUUUUAUUUUUAGUUUUUAAGUUCAAAUCAUGUUUUAGACAUAGAGCCCAACAUAACUUGAGCCCAAACAUUUUAAACCCACAAUUACUUUUUCAUAAUGUAAAAACGUCAACCUUCGUUUAUGUUUUGUUAAACUAUUUUAAUCUUUAUGUUUUGUUAAACUAUUUCACACAGGGGGCAGAUCUCCUUAGAAGGGGAGCCACUCACCACGAUGCUUCCAGUUUCACCAUUCUUGAAACUCUUAUGAACCACAAAGCCAAUAUAAGAGCUCUGUUUCAAUCCAACGGCUGGAUUUUGUCACAGACCACCGCUAAGCCUGAAGAGGGAAGAGAAGUGGAGUGCUGCGUUUUGGAAGAUGGUUACUUGGAGUUUACAAGAUGAAGAUGGAACCCGUGACGAGGAAGACGAGGAGAAGUGUUACUUGGAAUAUCCUAACGUUAAGGAUGUAGACAAUGUGUGAUCUUAGCGAUGAAAAUUAGUGUAGCUUUAAUAUAUGCUACUACGGUCCUUGAGCUCCCUAACAAGUACUAGCAAACGAUGUGUAUUUUGAAAAAAUAAAAUAAUUUUGUAAUGCAAGUAGUUUGAAAUUUUGAGUAUUUAUUCAAACAACGGAUAUAUACAGAGUUGAUAACUUGAUAUGGAUCCCCAAAUAAGUUGGUGCUGCGCUGUCACAAUAUCUGUCUUUUUAAUUUUCAUAUACCUGACGUAAGCUUCUUCAUCUUCUUCUCUUUCCCUUUCCGUUGUUCCACGCUCUCUGUUUCAUGUCUAUGCCUUUUUCACAUUCUCUAUGUUUUACCUUAAUUAUACUUUUUGAAUUUUUCUUCCGUUUUGGGAGAUGUCUCUAACUUGAGUUAAUCGUCAAAAGCUAAGAUCAAUUUUGUUGUCUUAUUUCCGAUAAAUUUUAUUCUUUAAUUUGCACAAAUCUUAAACAAUACCAACAGCCCGUAAAUUUUACCGUCCCACCGAUAUCCAAAGUAACCAGCCCCGCACUUGCGCGGGGUGUCAGCACCUAGUAUCUAAUAACUGAGAAAACAGUUCUCGUUUGGGCCAUUAUGAAAGUCGUAUAAUAUGAAAUGAAUAUUAUAGUAGAAACAAAAUAACUGAAGUGAAAAAUAAUAGUUUUAUCGAAGUGAAUUUAUAUGUGACAAGGAAAAUUGCAUAAAAUUAUUAGGAGAUUGCUUUAGAAAUAGAAAAUUGUAUACUUUUCAAAAGUGUAAUAUUUCUAUCUAACGUAGGAUAUACGUAUAUAGUUAUCACCUAGUAAUCCCUAUUAAAUAACUAGAACUAACAUAAAUUUUUUUAACGUAGGAUUUGAAUUCCAGAAGAUAUAAAAAUUAGAAAUAAGGAAAAUAUAAAAAGUAAAGAUAUUUAUAGCAAUGUUUU